GAAAGAUUCAUCGGUAUGGAAUGGGGUCGCGUCCUAUCAGCUUGAUGGCGGGGUAACGGCCCACCAUCGCUUCGACGGGUAGCCGGCCUGAGAGGGCGACCGGCCACAUAGGGACUGAGAUACGGCCCAGACUCAUACGGGAGGCAGCAGUGGGGAAUAUAGCACAAUGGGCGCAAGCCUGAUGCAGCGACGCCGCGUGCGGGAUGACGGCCUUCGGGUUGUAAACCGACUUUGACUGGGAGCAAGCCCUUCGGGGUGAGUGUACCUCUCGAAUAAGCACCGGCUAACUACGUGCCAGCAGCCGCGGUAAUACGUAGGGUGCAAGCGUUAUCCGGAAUUAUUGGGCGUAAAGGGCUCGUAGGCGGUUCGUCGCGUCCGGUGUGAAAGUCCAUCGCUUAACGGUGGAUCCGCGCCGGGUACGGGCGGG
rnacentral:rRNA from 1 species